AGCAGUGUGAGCCUCAAGGAUCCAUCUAUGUCCACCUCCGAGUUGGGAUUAUGUGGGUGCUGGGAUCUGAGCUCACGUCCUUAGACUUGCAUAGCAAGCACCUUAUUGAUGGAGCCAUCUCCCUGUCCCAGACUCCUUUACAUUCAGCCUAAUAUGUUACCUUGUUAAGAACAUAACAGCUUUGGGCUGAAGAGAUGGCUCAGUGGUUAAGAGCAGUGACUGCUCUUGCAGAGGUCCUGAGUUCAAUACCCAGCAAACCACAUGGUGGCUCACAACCAUCUGCAAUAAAAUCUGAUUGAUGCCCUCUUCUGGUGUCUCUGAAGAGAGUGACAGACAGUAUACUCCUAUACAUAAAAUAAACAAAUAAAUAAAUCUUUUAUAUAUAUAUUGUCACAUGGGUUUUCACACAAAUGGUCUCAUGUUUAUGACGUGGCCUUUUGUGACUGGUUUCUUUCACACUGCACAAUAUUCAAGGGCUAUGGUGAUGUAGCAUGCAUCAUAACCCUACAGAGCAUGGUCACUGUAUGGGUCUACCCUAGUUGGUUGGUCCAUCCAUCAGCUGAUGGAUAUCGGGUCCUGUCCUCCCUUUCACCAUCAUGAAUAAGGCUGCUCUGAACAUGGCUGUGCAGUGUUUUUUGUGUGAACAUUUUAAAUUCUUCCAGCACUGCAGAUCUAACAGUGGAUUUACCGAAUCACCGAACUCGCAACUCCAUUUUGAAUCUUUAUAGGCUUCAUCAAACUAUUUUCCCAAGCAGAGGCUAUGAUGUUUCAGGAUGGUGUUUCUCUGCUUCUUCAGGAAUGCAGGCUGUUAUCUUUUUUGUUGGACUGUUCCUGGUGGGCUCGAAAUCUCAUCUCAUUUUGGUUUUGAUUUGCAUCUCACCAGGGACUUUUCAUAUGUAUAUGAAUAUGCAUAGCUUCUCUGGGAAAAUAGCAACUCAAAUCAUCUGCCUUUUAAAGUUUUAAUUGGGUUGUUUGCCCUCUCAUUGCUGGGUGUUAAAGAGUUUGCAGGGACUGAGAAGGUAGCUCAGUGGAUGAGUUUUUGUCUAGCAUGGGAGAAGCCUUUAUUCAAUUUCUAGCACUGGGUGGCAUCGGCAUCAGCGGCUUCUUCUUUCUUUUUCUUCUUCUUCUUCUUCUUCUUCUUCUUCUUCUUCUUCUUCUUCUUCUUCUUCUUCUUCUUCUUCUUCUUCUUCCUCCUCCUCCUCCUCCUCUUCCUUCUCCUCCUCCUCCUCCUCCUCUUCCUCCUCCUCCUUUUCCUUCUCCUCUCCUUGUUCUCCUUCCUCCUCUUCCUCCUCCUCUUCCUCUUCCUCCUCCUCCUCCUACUUCUACAGUGUCCUGGGUGUAAGUCUGUCAUUAAAUUCAUUAAAUAUGUAAUUAUAAAUGUUUUCAACUAAACCCCAAGCCUUUUAAUUGUAUUUGUAGUAUCUCUUGAAAUACAAAUGCUUUUAGUUUUCAGGAAGUCCAAAUUAUCUAUUUUUGCUCUAUUUUGAUAUUAAAGGGGAGAAGAAGUAUUUUUUUUCCCAUUUUAGGUCCUAUAACAGCCUAUAUAGGCUGAGAUCCUAUAACAGCGAUAGGAAGAUAAAGAUGAAUGCUCAUUUGCUGUAAGUUUCACAUUGUGACAGACACGAAGAACCAAUGGUGGAGGGAAACCUCAGUAUUUUAGGGUGAUAUUUGCCAGAGUGUGGAUAGUUGUAGGAGCUGUGGUGGACAAUGGAGAUGUAAGCCAAGAGUCAUUAACUGAGGGAGUCUUGCCAGGCCUGUGCGUUCAGAUUCCUUUCUGAGUCUCUCCUGAAAUAAUGGCCCUCCUUUGCUCUUCAUAUAAGGAGAAUACUUCUUUUUGUUUAUUUUAAGAUAGAAUGUCCCUAUGUAGCCCAAGUUGGCCUUAGCUCUUGAUCCUUUUGCCUCUACCUCCCUAGUGUUGGGAUUAUAGCCUUGCACCAGCAGACUGCACUCAGGAGGGGAGGCCUUGCUAAUGGUCUUAUGACCUACUUCAGGGAGAGGCCUGGAGAGACCCUCUGCUUAUCUUUCAAUAGACAGAGGUCCAUGUUUUGAACUACAGCAUCCGUUGGAAGGAGCCACAGUCUCAGGAAAUGAAGGAAAGCUGUGAUUGUGGUCUGUUCUCAGUGUGAAUCGCCCAGGCUGCCAUGAACCACUGGUUCAGAGCUGGAGCUGACCUUGUGGGACUGAACCUGUAACUUGCCCUAGAUCCCUGGUUACCAUCAGAACUUGCUUGAAUUGUUGGGUGUGAAGUUGGUGCUGCAGUCUGAAAAAAGGUAGAAAUAAAACCAGUCAGCCUCCUUCGGGGCAGCCCAGCACCUUGAAUUCCAGAAAUUUCUCCCUCUCUAAGGUGACUCUGAAAGCCUGGGUUGACUAGCAACAUUGGCAAAUCCUGAAGGCCUACCAGGCUUUGGCGCCAGGGUCCCAGGAAGUGAGUGACUCUUGCCUUGGGCUGCAGUAGAAUUGUUGGGGGUGGGGUGGGGUUGGCUCUUCCCCCCAGCACUAGGAAGGGGGUGCAUAUCUAGAAAUUCUGAUCUACUUAGCAUGGGAUGGCUGGACCUCACUGGCUUUAAAGGUCCCUGCUUGUGUGCGUGCUUGUGUGCUUGAGUGAGUGCGUCCUAGUGUGCACCCUGAACUAGAUCCCUGCUGGGGAGGACUGGCCUCCAAGGUCAUUCCCCUGGUGGAGAACAUCUCUGAAUGAAGAAUGGCACCGAGGAGGAAGGAGGGGGCAAUAGUCCUAAAUGCUGACAUUCCUUCCCCCAUAUUACUAUUCCUUAAUUUAAUACAAAACCCCGUGAGAUUCCACAGGAGUUCAUUUGGGAGAAGAAAAAGAAUUUUGAUGUCGCCAUCUAGCGGCCAGUGGUGAGACAGACGUUUCUGAGAACUGAGUCUAAUUUACAAAAGGCUUCCUUUGUGAAGGAGUUUAAAGACUGGUGAUUGGGAUGAUAAUCCCAGAUGCUUGCUUAGCAUGCAGAAAGCCGUAGGUUUGAUCCCCAGCACUUCUUAAAACCUGGCCAUGGUGGUGCUCGCUGGAAACUGCAUCACUGGGGAGAUAAGAGGCAGGGGGAUCUGACGUUCACGGCUGUCUUUGGUCACACAGUUCAACACGUGAGCCACCUGCCUCAGAACAACUAAACGGAACUGGAGAUAAGGGUCCCAGGCUGCACAGAAAAUGAUGGACACUCACCAGGAAGGACAGCUCUUCCUACCCUCAGGGCUAACUGACAUUCCUUUGACAAACAGCUGGAGGAAGGGGCUGGCUUUCAGGUGUCUGGGGAGGUGUAUGGAUUAUUCCAGGUGUUUAGUGCCUCAAGGAGCUGGGGCCAGACAAGAGUUCAGAAAGGAUUUCAGGACUGGGAUGCUCCAGGGUCUCACUCCAUCAGGACAUGGAAAAACCAAAACCCUUUCAGGAGGAGAAAGUGGGUGUUGUGAGCAUGGGUGUGUACAAAGAAAGAGGUGAUUUUUUUUUCAAUAAAAAUAGUUCAGUGUGGACAGAACUGAUUUAAGAACUUGUAUGGCUGGAGGGAAGGCCUGAUAUGGAAGUCUCCAUGAGAUAUUUGCCCUUGUUUGCUAACAUUAUUAUUUUUAUUUUGUCUAGGAUCUUUUAGCCCCAAACACACCCACCACUUGGAGGGAAGCAAAAAUUCCAAAGAACACAGUUUAGGAAACACUGACCAGUAAGAAAGUCUCCAGUUUUGUGCCAGGAGACUGUGAAGAGUCCCUCAUCCUAGCUACCUGGAAGCCAGUAUUCUGCUAGCAUCCUUCAGAUGAAGAUGUAGAACACUCAGCUCCUCCUGCAUCAUGCCUGCCUGGAUGCUGCCAUGUUCCUGCCUUGAUGAUACUAGAUUGAACCUCUGAACCUGCAUGAUGGUCUGUGUGUAUAAUCUCAGAGUCCAGGAGGCUGGGGCAGGUAUCUUCUCCACUUCCUUCCUUGUCCCCUCAAAGAUGUUGACUAACAUCAAGGCAACACCUUCUUUGUAGAUGAAAGAGGUAAGAUCCAUGUUUAUUCUGCCCCUUCCCAUGGCAUAGCCACAGGCAACAGAUACCUUAGCUCCUGCCAUAGGCAGGGAACAUGGGCUUGAGCUAUGUUUGGAAGGGGCAGGAUCUGGGGGACCCCCACUUAAUGCUGUAGGUGAUAAAGUGCUUGGAAGGGAUGGUGAAUGUCUGUUGACCAAGCAUGCAAAUCUGAGUUGUAACAUGUUACUUUUAGCUGUGUUGAUCUUGAGAAAACUACUCUCUGUGCUUCCGUGUCUCAAAGAAGUCAUCUCUGGUUGCGAGGGCCAAUAUGGCAGAUGCCAUUUACCUGUGGCCAGAGCGCUCAGAACAUGAGACCAG
rnacentral:lncRNA from 1 species